rnacentral:rRNA from 1 species
GGCCUAACACAUGCAAGUCGAGCGCUACCUUCGGGUGGAGCGGCGGACGGGUUAGUAACGCGUGGGAAUAUACCCUUCACUAUGGAAUAGCCUCGGGAAACUGAGAGUAAUACCAUAUACGCCCUUCGGGGGAAAGAUUUAUCGGUGAAGGAUUAGCCCGCGUAAGAUUAGAUAGUUGGUGGGGUAAUGGCCUACCAAGUCUACGAUCUUUAGCUGGUUUUAGAGGAUGAUCAGCAACACUGGGACUGAGACACGGCCCAGACUCCUACGGGAGGCAGCAGUGGGGAAUCUUAGACAAUGGGCGAAAGCCUGAUCUAGCCAUGCCGCGUGAGUGAUGAAGGUCUUAGGAUCGUAAAGCUCUUUCGCUAGGGAUGAUAAUGACAGUACCUAGUAAAGAAGCCCCGGCUACUCCGUGCCAGCAGCCGCGGUGAUACGGAGGGGGCUAGCGUUGUUCGGAAUUACUGGGCGUAAAGCGUACGUAGGCGGAUCAGAAAGUAUGGGGUGAAAUCCCAGGGCUUAACCCUGGAACUGCCUCAUAAACUCCUGGUCUUGAGUUCAGGAGAGGUGAGUGGAAUUCC